GCUCUCUCUCUCUCUCUCUCUCUCUCUCUCUCUCUCUCUCUCUCUCUCUCUCUCUCUCUCUCUCUCACAUUGGUCUUGGCAGUCAAUUUUCCAGUUAUUUUCUAGGCAACCAAACAGAAUCCAAUCGCUCCCUCUAUGUCGCUCUAUAUCUCGCUCUCACUCUCAUUCUCUCAUAGAUCUUGGCGGUCAAUUUUCCUGUUAUUUUCUAGGCAACCAAACAAAAUUCAAUCGCUCCCUCUCUCUUGCUCUUGCUCUCUCAUAGGUCUUAGCGGUCAAUUUUCCUAUUAUUUUCUAGGCAACCAAACAGAUUCUUGACUCAAAUUUUCUAUUAUUCUCCCUCUGAUUAGGUGCAUUGGGAGUUCAUUUCAAUGAAUGGUCAAGGAGAGUUCAAAUUUCACUAUCUGUGGGAUUGAAAGCUAGAACAUUUGUGAGUUCAAAUUACAAGUGCUUGGUUGUAUUUUUGUGUGGAUUUUUAAGCUGGGAAGUUAGUGUAUCAAACCACUAAGAAGAGGGCAAGUGGACCCAAGUGCCCUGUCACUGGCAAGAGAAUCCAAGGGGUAUGUAGUAUCUAUAUAUUUGUGUUUUGGUGUAUUGGGUCUUUUGCUAAAUCUGAAAAUGUUUUUUUGAUUUGUAGUCAUAAUUUGUGAUUGCAAUUUUGCUAUUUGUGGAUCUGUAACUUGUGUUGUGGUGGAUUUGAUAAUAUAUUAGUGCAUUGUUGUUAUUAUGGUCAUGGUUUCUUGUUUGUAUUGUCUGAGUAUAAUAAGAACCUACUUCAUGUAAAUGCAAAACGCUUUUGAGUUUAGGUUUGUUUUUCAAUUCUUCUAUUUUGGCUUCAAUAUCUCCUUUAAUUGCAGACUACUCAUAGGAGGAGUAGUGUUACACAUUAGGCAACUCUGAUUUAGAUAACUUACCCAUCAUGAUGUGAUGAGGAAGUCAAUGAUAGCACUUCCUCAACUAUAGAAUAACUUUUGAUAAAGCCAUAUGUUUUUAAAUUGAUAUUUCCUAGCUGAUGCGUUAAGUUGAUGUAUUUCUCAUUGCUAGACUCCUUGACUGGAAGUAGAAAACAUUUACUAUCCUUCAACCUGGUCUGUGCAAGUCUAGACAUAAAAAAUAACAAUCCAUAUGUAAAGGGAAUAUAGCUUUGAGACUUAUAGUAAUAGGUUUCUCUGAAAACAAAGUAAGCAUGAUCCAUAUGUAAUGAUUUUGUUUUAACACUGUAUAUUUCUGUAAAAAAAUUAUAAAAAAAAAAAAAUCAUCUAAUUGUUUUGAAAAGAAAGCUCAUCUAAUUGUGGUUUGGAUUGGUCUGCAAUAAUUUUAUAAAAUGUGGAUUGUGAAUGAGGUUGAUAGUGUGGUCGAAUUUUAAAAUAUUAGAAGAAAAUAAGCUAAAAAAUAGUGGAAGUUCAUGUGUCCAAUACAGCCACUAGUUUGAAUGAUUCAUUCUUAGGAUAUAUUGCACUUAAUAGAAGUUUUUGGGGGAAGGAAGUAUUGCAUAAUUAGUGCAUAAAUAUUUUUUUUAAAAAAAGCAUGAAUAAAAUAGUGGGCAUUACAAACUGUGAAGAGCCUGAGUUUGCUUUAGGCUGCUAUCAUGGCACUUUUAGAUAGGGAAGGAAUAAAAAAAGGGAUAUAUUGCAGCCAUUUUGCAUCGUGGUCUUGGCCUUGUAGUUGUUGUUAGUUGUGCCCAUGCGUUGGACUUGCACACACCUGGUUGUAAGAGUUAGUCAAUAUUAUAUUAUGUUCAGUUAAACAUUUUCUUUUUUGUUAAUUACUUGUACUCAUUGGCUCAUUGCCAUACCUGUAAUAGUAACUCGAUGCCUCAUUUAUUUAUUUAUGAAGGAUGCCUAAUGGAAAAUUCUGUACAUAUAAAUUUGGUUAGGGAUAUUCAAUUUAUUGCAAUUUGAUUAGAUUUAAAUCAGUGGGCCUCAUGUAUUAAAAUAUUAGUAGUUUCGUGAAUGGACAUGAGCUAUAUAUUUAUUUUAGCAGUUCAAUUAGCAAGAAAAUGAAGCCUUCAAUGAAUAGUUAUUGCAGGCGCUGUUUACAUUACCGAUGCAUUUACUUUCAUAAGAGCAUUCUCACCAGCUCUCUCAUAAAAAAUAUUAUUUUGAUACACCAAAAACCUACUUUAUCAUUUUAACACAUCAUUUUACAACAUACCAUUUAUCAGAUGUUCUAUCCUUUAAUUCUAUACAUUAAAAUAAUAUUUACAACAUAUUAAAAUAAUAUAUUAACCCCUCCCACCACCACCACCACCACCACCACCACCACCACCAUCAUCAUCAUCAAAAUCAUCAUCAUCAACAACACCACCACCAACAACGGCACAACUGCCGCAACAACAACCACCAAGAACCACUACUGUAACAACACCGACAGCUACCACCGGCACAAACCCACAUCCACCAAUGCUGCCCACAAAAAAAAAAAAAAAAAAAAAAAAAAAAAAAAAAAAAACCCAGCACAACCAAUAUCGGUAGCGGCACUGGUGAGACCCAUCCACAGCCACAAAUCUCACACCCAUAACCCAAUCUCACACCCACAACCCGAUCUGAGACCAUCCCAAACCUCACAUCCACAACCCAAUCAACCCACCACCUUCAACCAAAAUCGGCCAACCACCAACAAUCAAAACAACCAACCACCAUUAGAAAUACUACCACAACCACCAAAAGAGAGAGAGAGAGAGAUCGGCGAGGUGUGGAGAGAGAGAGAGAGAGAGAUCUACGGAUUAGUGAGAGCAAACCAAAGUUUUCGCCCGAUCUCGGCCUCGUCGGUAUGAAUCGGGUUAGAUCUCAGUCUCUGUAUGAAAGUUGCAGAGUGUGGUGGUGAUGGCUGUUGCAGACGAAGAAAGGAAGAGAGUGAGAUAAAAAAAUGAAAGUGAGAAAGAAAUAGGAGCAACGGAGAUCAGAGAGGAGAGAGAAAAGUGAAUAAAAUAAGAAAAAAAAUUAUAGCAUUGAUGUCUGUACCGUCUCAUAUUUGAGACGGUACUGUAGCGGUGUGCCAAAUUUUUUGGCAUUUGGCACACCUCAUGAGGGUCUGUUUUUGAUGUUUGGUGUGCCAAAUGCCAAAUAUUUGGCAUUUGACACUCUUGAUGAGAAUGCUCUAAGAACUCUAUUAUAUAUCAUGAUGGCUUAGUAUGGUAUGGUUCACACAAGUUGUUUAUAUUGCAAGAGAAAUUAUAAGGUCUUCAUGGUGGACAAGUGACGUGGUCCACCAUUUCAUUAAAGGACUCUCACUUGUUUAAAAUUGCUGAAUCAGAAAUUUUUUUUAAUUGCUAACUCAGCAAUUUUAAACAAGUGAGUCUUUUAGUAGAAUGAUGGACAAGUGAUGUAGUCCACCAUGAGGACUAUAUAAUUUCUCAUUUUGCAGGGUUGUCAUGCUUCAUUCUUGUUAGAUUGCUGUGGAAGCAUAUUCAAUGAGAAGAGGUCAAAAUCUACAUAUGGCUAGAGUUAGAAACAAUUAAUGGAGCUAUUACAAGAGAAGAGUUGGCUGGAAGUGCUAGAAAUUAUGGAGCUAUUCCAAGAGAAGAGUUGGCUAGAAGUGCUAGAAAUCAUGGAGUUAUUCUAAGAGAAGAGUCAGUUGGAAGUGCUAAAAACAAUGGAGCUAUUGCAAGAGAAAAGGCUGUUGGAAGUGCUAGAAAUUAUGGAGCUAUUGCAAGAGAAGAAUCAGCUGGAAGUGCUAGAAAUUAUGGAGCUAUUCCAAGAGAAGAGUCAGCUGGAAGUUCUAGAAACAAUGGAGCUAUUGUAAGAGAAGAGUUUGGAACAAGUGAAAGUGGUGGCUCACGAGUUGGUAACUAAAAAAAUACAUUUAAAAAAAUUAUAAAUUAAAAAAAUUCUAUAUUUAUUUUGAAUUACUAUAAUUGCCAUUCUAAUAUUUGCAACCUUUUAUAUUGAUGGUAUUAAUGCAAUUGUGUAUGUAUUUAUAUUUUGCUUUAGGUUAUUAAAUUUUUGAUCAA